GAUGAACGCUGGCGGCGUGCCUAAUACAUGCAAGUCGAGCGAACAGACGAGGAGCUUGCUCCUCUGACGUUAGCGGCGGACGGGUGAGUAACACGUGGAUAACCUACCUAUAAGACUGGGAUAACUUCGGGAAACCGGAGAUAAUACCGGAUAAUAUAUUGAACCGCAUGGUUCAAUAGUGAAUGACGGUUUUGCUGUCACUUAUAGAUGGAUCCGCGCCGCAUUAGCUAGUUGGUAAGGUAACGGCUUACCAAGGCAACGAUGCGUAGCCGACCUGAGAGGGUGAUCGGCCACACUGGAACUGAGACACGGUCCAGACUCCUACGGGAGGCAGCAGUGGGGAAUAUUCGACAAUGGGCGAAAGCUUGACGCAGCAAUGCCGCGUGGGUGAUGAAGGUCUUCGGAUCGUAAAGCUCUGUUAUUAGGGAAGAAAAGAUGUGUAAGUAACUAUGCACGUCUUGACGGUACCUAAUCAGAAAGCAACGGCUAACUACGUG
rnacentral:rRNA from 1 species